AUUGAACGCUGGCGGCAUGCCUUACACAUGCAAGUCGAACGGUAACGGGCCUUCGGGUGCCGACGAGUGGCGAACGGGUGAGUAAUACAUCGGAACGUGCCCGAUCGUGGGGGAUAACGAGGUGAAAGCUUUGCUAAUACCGCAUACGAUCUACGGAUGAAAGCAGGGGACCGCAAGGCCUUGCGCGGACGGAGCGGCCGAUGGCAGAUUAGGUAGUUGGUGGGAUAAAAGCUUACCAAGCCGACGAUCUGUAGCUGGUCUGAGAGGAUGAUCAGCCACACUGGGACUGAGACACGGCCCAGACUCCUACGGGAGGCAGCAGUGGGGAAUUUUGGACAAUGGGCGCAAGCCUGAUCCAGCCAUGCCGCGUGCAGGAUGAAGGCCUUCGGGUUGUAAACUGCUUUUGUACGGAACGAAAAGCCUUCUUUUAAUACAGGAGGGUCAUGACGGUACCGUAAGAAUAAGCACCGGCUAACUACGUG
rnacentral:rRNA from 1 species